rnacentral:rRNA from 1 species
GAUGAACGCUGGCGGCGUGCCUAAUACAUGCAAGUCGAGCGAAUGGAUUGAGAGCUUGCUCUUAUGAAGUUAGCGGCGGACGGGUGAGUAACACGUGGGUAACCUGCCCAUAAGACUGGGAUAACUCCGGGAAACCGGGGCUAAUACCGGAUAACAUUUUGAACCGCAUGGUUCGAAAUUGAAAGGCGGCUUCGGCUGUCACUUAUGGAUGGACCCGCGUCGCAUUAGCUAGUUGGUGAGGUAACGGCUCACCAAGGCAACGAUGCGUAGCCGACCGGAGAGGGUGACCGGCCACACGGGACUGAGACACGGCCCAGACUCCUACGGGAGGCAGCAGUAGGGAAUCUUCCGCAAUGGACGAAAGUCUGACGGAGCAACGCCGCGUGAGUGAUGAAGGCUUUCGGGUCGUAAAACUCUGUUGUUAGGGAAGAACAAGUGCUAGUUGAAUAAGCUGGCACCUUGACGGUACCUAACCAGAAAGCCACGGCUAACUACGUGCCAGCCGCCGCCGUAA